UGAACCCAGAGCAACAAGAAUGGCUUCUUCAGUCUUUCAGAUGAUGAUGGCCAUAGGGCUGCUCACUUUGAUUCUUACUUCUUAUGCUGAACCUUACCCCAAGCUCUUAGGCCAAACUAGGUCUUUCUUAUCCUCCAGUUCCACUGGCUGCUCACUCCUGAGGCCUAUUGUCAGUAGAAAACCAGCAAUUUCAAUCCCUUGGAUCACCUGGGAAGGCUGUGUGGAAUUGGUGCCUCAGCCAUUUCAGAGCUCCCAGAAGACAAAAUAAAGUCCAAGAGCUCAGAGACUUGUGUUGUUCCAGUGUCAGGAUGUGUCUAUCAGGAUGCUGGUGCUCUCAGUAUGAGAAUGUCAUCACUGAACCAUACUAAGAACUGUGUCUAGGGAAGGGGAUAUGUCUCAGUAACUAGAUUUCUUGACAAUAAACAAUAGAAAGUCCAGGUCA
rnacentral:lncRNA from 1 species